rnacentral:rRNA from 1 species
CGUAGGUGGCAAGCGUUGUCCGGAAUUAUUGGGCGUAAAGCGCGCGCAGGCGGCUUCCCGAGUCCCUCUUAAAAGUGCGGGGCUUAACCCCGUGAUGGGAAGGAACUGGGAAGCUGGAGUAUCGGAGAGGAAAGUGGAAUUCCUAGUGUAGCGGUGAAAUGCGUAGAGAUUAGGAAGAACACCGGUGGCGAAGGCGACUUUCUGGACGAAAACUGACGCUGAGGCGCGAAAGCGUGGGGAGCAAACAGGAUU